rnacentral:rRNA from 1 species
UACGUAGGCAGCAAGCGUUGUUCGGAAUUACUGGGCGUAAAGAGUGUGUAGGCGGUGCUCUAAGUCUGUCGUGAAAUCUCCCGGCUUAACUGGGAGGGUGCGGCGGAAACUGGAGUGCUCGAGGAUGGGAGAGGUAAGCGGAAUUCCUGGUGUAGCGGUGAAAUGCGUAGAUAUCUGGAGGAACACCGGUGGCGAAGGCGGCAUCCUGGACCGGCAUUGACGCUGAGGCGCGAAAGCCAGGGGAGCAAACGGG